rnacentral:rRNA from 1 species
AUUGAACGCUGGCGGCGUGCCUAAUACAUGCAAGUAGAACGAGUUGCGAACGGGUGAGUAACGCGUGGUAACCUGCCUCAUAGCGGGGGAUAACUAUUGGAAACGAUAGCUAAUACCGCAUACCAUCAGAUGUGCCCAGAUGGGAUUAGCUAGUAGGUGGGGUAACGGCUCACCUAGGCGACGAUCCCUAGCUGGUCUGAGAGGAUGACCAGCCACACUGGAACUGAGACACGGUCCAGACGCCUACGGGAGGCAGCAGUGGGGAAUAUGGCACAAUGGGCGCAAGCCUGAUGCAGCCAUGCCGCGUGUGUGAAGAAGGCCUUCGGGUUGUAAAGCACUUUCAGCGGGGAGGCGUUACCCGCAGAAGAAGCACCGGCUAACUCCGUGCCAGCAGCCGCGGUAAUAC